rnacentral:misc_RNA from 1 species
CUGUUCGAGCGUCAUUAUAACCACUCAAGCCUCGGCUUGGUAUUGGGGUUCGAGGUUUCUCGGCCCUUAAAAUCAGUGGCGGUGCAUCUGGCUCUAAGCGUAGUAAUUUUUCUCGCUACAGGGUCCGGGUGGUUGCUUGCCAGAAUCCCCCCCCUUUUAAGGUUGACCUCGGAUCAGGUAGGGAUACCCGCUGAACUUAA